CCUACGGAGGGCAGCAGUGGGGGAUAUUGCACAAUGGGGGGAACCCUGAUGCAGCGACGCCGCGUGGGUGAAGGAGUGCUUCGGCAUGUAAAGCCCUAUCGGCAGGGAAGAAGCAAGACGGUACCUGACUACGAAGCCCCGGCUAACUACGUGCCAGCAGCCGCGGUACUACGUAGGGGGCGAGCGUUAUCCGGAUUCCCUGGGUGUAAAGGGAGCGUAGACGGCCAUGCAAGCCAGGGGUGAAAGCCCGGGGCCCAACCCCGGGACUGCCCUUGGAACUGCAUGGCUGGAGUGCGGGAGGGGCAGGCGGAAGUCCUGGUGUAGCGGUGAAAUGCGUAGAUAUCAGGAGGAACACCGGCGGCGAAGGCGGCCUGCUGGACUGCGACUGACGUUGAGGCUCGAAAGCGUGGGGAGCGAACAGGAUUAGAUACCCCUGUAGUC
rnacentral:rRNA from 1 species